CUACGGGAUGCUCCAGUUAGGGAUAUUCGGCAAUGGGGGAAACCCUGACCGAGCAAUGCCGCGUGAAUGAAGAAGUAUUUCGAUAUGUAAAGUUCUGUUGUUAAGGAAGAAAGGUACGAAUAGGAAAUGAUUCGUAAUUGACGGUACUUAACCAGAAAGCCCCUGCUAAGUACGUGCCAGCAGCAGCGGUAAUACGUAGGGGGCGAGCGUUAUCCGGAAUUAUUGGGCGUAAAGGGUGCGUAGGCGGCCUGUCAAGUCCGAGUUGAAAGCCCACGGCUUAACCGUGGAGGGUGCUCGGAAACUGAUAGGCUUGAAUCCAGAAGAGGCAAGUGGAAUUCUAUGUGGAGCGGUGGAAUGCGUAGAUAUAUGGAGGAACACCAGUGGCGAAGGCGGCUUGCUGGGCUGGUAUUGACGCUGAUGCACGAAAGCGUGGGGAGCAAACAGGAUUAGAUACCCCCGUAGUC
rnacentral:rRNA from 1 species